GUCAGCGAUAGCUAUGAAAUGAAGAUUGCUGGCAUUUUAUAUGUAAAAUUUAUGGGGAAUGUUAUCGAUUGUCAUUUCCAAGCCAACUGGACGCCGUUUUUUAUUUCGAUCAGUAGUGGCGAUUUUAACGUCUGUGCAAUCGGGAUUCAUGAAAGAAAAAGCGAACGCUGCUACGUUUCCCGUUCCCAAACUCCCAACAGCUCCAGUACACAGAAUAUACUCAAUAUACUAUGCUCCAGUCGACUGCGACCUGCGACGACUGUGACUGGAACAGUCUGACCGGGCGACGGGGCUAGGAGCAUUUUCAGAAUUUACACUAUUGCCUGCUAUUGCUCCUAUUGCUACUCACGAGCGCAGAUGUCCUAAACUUGUAAACUGCUCCGAAAUGUCACUGCGAUUUUCUUGGAACUGGAGCAGUCACAUACUGCGACGUUGGUGGAGCUGUGACAAAGUAGCGGACUGCGAUUUCACAACCCACCUCUAAUUGCAAAACUAGUGUCGCUCAAAUGCUGCGAAAUAUGGUAUCACUAUCACACUCUUGCACACGUGUCUAGACUGUCGCCUCGCCACAAAGCGAGAAAUCAGAAUAUCGCUACGAAUCGAUGUUGCUACUGAACAUAGUGCAUCAAGCUACAAAUUACUUUGCUAUCGCUUU